rnacentral:rRNA from 1 species
AGUGAACGCUGGCGGUAGGCCUAACACAUGCAAGUCGAACGGCAGCACAGUACGUGCUUGCUCUUACAGGUGGCGAGUGGCGGGUGGGUGCGGAAUACCUCGGAAUCUACUUUUUCGUGGGGGAUGACGUGGGGACACUUACGCUAAUACUGCAUACGACGUACGUGUGGAAGCAGGGGAUCUUCGGACCUUGCGCGAUUGAAUGAGCCGAUGUCGGAUUAGCUAGUUGGCGGGGUAAAGGCCCACCAAGGCGACGAUCCGUAGCUGGUCUGAGAGGAUGAUCAGCCACACUGGAACUGAGACACGGUCCAGACUCCUACGGGAGGCAGCAGUGGGGAAUAUUGGACAAUGGGCGCAAGCCUGAUCCAGCCAUACCGCGUGUGUGAAGAAGGCCUUCGGAUUGUAAAGCACUUUUGGUGGGGAAGAAAAGCAGCAGGUUAAUACCUCGCUGUUCUGACGGUACCCAAAGUAUAAGCACCGGCUAACUUCGUG